GCGGUCUUGAGUGACGGUGGGGCGGCCGGAAUAUGUGGUGUAGCGGUGAAAUGCAUAGAUAUCACAUAGAACACCGAUCGCGAAGGCAGGUCGCCAACCGUGUACUGACGCUGAUGGACGAAAGCGUGGGGAGCGAACGGGAUUAGAUACCCCGGUAGUCCACGCCGUAAACGAUGGACACUAGCUGUCGGGCCUUUGGGCUCGGCGGCCAAGCGAAAGUGAUAAGUGUCCCACCUGGGGAGUACGUUCGCAAGAAUGAAACUCAAAGGAAUUGACGGGG
rnacentral:rRNA from 1 species